AUAGAGAGAGAGAGGGGGGAUAGAGAGAGAGAGGGGGAUAGAGAGAAAGCGAGGGGAUAGAGAGAAAGCGAGGGGGAGAGCGAGAGGCGGGGGAGUCUGUGAAAACACUAGAACCACACACACACUUUCUUCUGUCUGUCGAUACACUGUCUUCUCAUUUACAUUUAUAUUGAUUCCUCUUCAUUGAAAACAUGAGAGAAUCAGAGGCAGCGCUGAGCUGCCAGAAAUUCAUUGCCAUUUUUCUCUCCUUCCCUUUCAUUUUCAUCACUCCAUCUAGAUCAAUACUGACUGUAUCACUGCGAACAACACACAAAACCAAAGAGCAGAGAAAAGGUUGACGGACAGGGCGUGUAUGUGUGUGUGUGUGUGUGUGUGUGUGUGUGUGUGUGUGUGUGACUGAUGUGGUGCCUAUGUUUAGAGACAGGUGUCACCUAAUGCAUUACUAAACUCUGGGCUCAGGAUCCAGUUCAAUAGAAAACUUUAAAAACCCAAAACAAAAAUGAGGAUUCUUAUUAAGACACGUCGAGGUAGUGGAACACGUCGAGGUAGUGGAACACGUCGAGGUAGUGGAACACGUCGAGGUAGUUUAACACGUCGAGGUAGUUUAACACGUCGAGGUAGUUUAACACGUCGAGGUAGUUUAACACGUCGAGGUAGUUUAACACGUCGAGGUAGUGGAACACGUCGAGGUAGUUUAACACGUCGAGGUAGUGGAACACGUCGAGGUAGUUUAACACGUCGAGGUAGUUUAACACGUCGAGGUAGUGGAACACGUCGAGGUAGUGGAACACGUCGAGGUAGUGGAACACGUCGAGGUAGUGGAACACGUCGAGGUAGUGGAACACGUCGAGGUAGUUCAACACGUCGAGGUAGUGGAACACGUAGUUUAACACGUCGAGGUAGUGGAACACGUCGAGGUAGUGGAACACGUCGAGGUAGUGGAACACGGCGAGGUAGUGGAACACGUCGAGGUAGUGGAACACGUCGAGGUAGUGGAACACGUCGAGGUAGUGGAACACGUCGAGGUAGUUUAACACGUCGAGGUAGUUUAACACGUCGAGGUAGUUUAACACGUCGAGGUAGUGGAACACGUCGAGGUAGUGGAACACGUCGAGGUAGUGGAACACGUCGAGGUAGUGGAACACGUCGAGGUAGUGGAACACGUCGAGGUAGUUUAACACGUCGAGGUAGUGGAACACGUCGAGGUAGUUUAACACGUCGAGGUAGUUUAACACGUCGAGGUAGUGGAACACGUCGAGGUAGUGGAACACGUCGAGGUAGUUUAACACGUCGAGGUAGUUUAACACGUCGAGGUAGUGGAACACGUCGAGGUAGUUUAACACGUCGAGGUAGUGGAACACGUCGAGGUAGUGGAAC